AGAAAAUCCAGCUAGGGAAUGCAGAGAGAUGAGAGGCUCUCGAUUUUCUAACCCCCUUUUUUACGCCGGAAAAAUCCAAAAAUCAGUCGCCGGCGGCAGGAAUUGCCACCGGAAACACGUAGAAGACGGGUGAAUCACUCACCCGUUUUCGUCUUCCCCGGUUCACCAAAUCCCUUUUUAAUAACAGGUUCAAACACCCUUUUCAAUCUUUAGUCUCUUUUUUUUCAAUCAAUUUAGAACCAAACAAAAAAAAAAUGGCCCCUGAAGAGAAAUGUGGAGCUUUGAACGGAAAAUAUGAACUCGGUCGACUUUUAGGCCAUGGAACAUUCGCGAAAGUUUAUCACGCUCGAAACGUGAAGAAUGGUAAAAAUGUUGCCAUGAAAGUAGUGGGGAAAGAAAAAGUUAUUAAAGUAGGUAUGAUGGAUCAGAUCAAGCGAGAAAUCUCGGUUAUGAAAAUGGUGAAAAACCCAAACAUAGUCGAGCUCCACGAAGUCAUGGCGAGUAAAACAAAGAUUUACUUCGCCAUGGAGUUCGUUAAAGGAGGUGAGCUUUUCGCGAAGAUCGCGAAAGGCAAGGUGAGAGAGGAUGUUGCUAGAGGUUACUUCCAGCAACUGAUCUCAGCUAUCGACUUCUGUCAUAGCAGAGGAGUAUUUCAUCGCGAUUUGAAACCUGAAAACUUAUUGUUGGAUGAAGAAGGAAAUCUCAAAAUUACUGAUUUUGGGCUAAGUGCAUUUACAGAACAUCAAAGACAAGACGGAUUGCUUCAUACAACUUGCGGAACUCCGGCUUAUGUUGCCCCUGAAAUUAUUGGUAAAAAAGGCUACGAUGGUUCAAAAGCAGACAUAUGGUCAUGUGGAGUGAUUCUCUAUGUUUUACUAGCUGGUUUUUUACCAUUUCAAGACGAAAACAUCAUGGCGAUGUAUAAGAAGAUUUACCGGGGUGAUUUCAAAUGUCCACCUUGGUUUUCAUCUGAAGCUAGGAGGUUGAUCACGAAGAUGUUGGAUCCGAAUCCUAAUUCAAGAAUCACUACUUCAAAGAUCAUGGAUUCGUCAUGGUUCAAAAAAUCGAUCCCAAAGACGUUAAGGAACAAAGAUGAGGAAGAAUUUGCAUUUGCAUUUGCAUCAGAUAAGUCUAGUAAACAAGUUGAGACAAUGAACGCGUUUCAUAUCAUUUCUUUAUCUGAAGGGUUUGAUUUGUCACCAUUGUUCGAAGAGAAUAAAAGGAAUGAGAAAGAACAGAUGAGAUUCGCGACUACAAUGUCAGCAAGUAGUGUGAUAUCUAAGCUUGAGGAGGUAGCAAAGACAACGAAUUUCAUCGUAAAAAAGAGUGAUUCCUGUGUAAAACUACAAGGACAAGUGGUGGGGAGAAAAGGGAAAUUAGGAAUUGCUGCUGAUAUAUUUGCUGUGACAAAUUCAUUUCUAGUUGUGGAAGUGAAUAAAGCAAGUGGUGAUACAUUGGAGUAUAAUCAAUUCUGCAGCAAAGAGCUAAGACCAGCACUUAAGGAUAUUGUUUGGACAUCAGCAACAUAGAUUAAUGAUCUACACUUACUUUGAAUCAUAUAAUAAAAAUAAGGUGUAGAUUUGGGAAGUUUUCAUUUUGUUGUGUUUGUUUUCAUGUUGUUAAUUUACAUUUUUAUUAAUUUAGAGGCUCAAGAAAGUUUCUUGAAUGGAAUGUCUGUUUGUGUUUGUUUUGCAAGUUUGCAUCUACUUUUACUACUUGUUCUAAAAUUAUGUGUUGUGCUUUAAUAAUUUGUGUUUGGUUGUAAAUUGUGAUGUUUCGUUUGAGUCAA
rnacentral:misc_RNA from 1 species